rnacentral:rRNA from 1 species
UACGAAGGUGGCAAGCGUUACUCGGAAUUACUAGGCGUAAAGGGCAGGUAGGUGGUUUGGUUAGUCUGUUGUGAAAGCUCCUUGCUUAACGGGGAGAGGCCAACAGAUACUGCCAGACUUGAGUAUGGGAGAGGUUACUGGAAUUCCCGGUGUGGCGGUGAAAUGCGCAGAGAUCGGGAGGAACACCAAUGGCGAAAGCAGGUAACUGGACCAUUACUGACACUCAGCUGCGAAAGCUACGGGAGCAAACAGG